GCGGUCGUAGUCUAGCGGCUAUGAUUCGAGCUUCCCAAGCUUGCGACCCGGGUCCGAAUCCCGGCGACCGCA
rnacentral:tRNA from 1 species